GAAAUGCGAUAAGUAAUGUGAAUUGCAGAAUUCAGUGAAUCAUCGAAUCUUUGAACGCACCUUGCGCUCCUUGGUAUUCCUUGGAUCAUGCCUGUUUGAGUAUCAUGAAAUCUUCAAAGUAAAUCUUUUGUUAACUCAAUUGGUUUCUACUUUGGUAUUGGAGGUCUUUGCAGCUUCACACCUGCUCCUCUUUGUUCAUUAGCUGGAUCUCAGUGUUAUGCUUGGUUCCACUCGGCGUGAUAAGUUAUCUAUCGCUGAGGACACUGUAAAAGGUGGCCAAGGUAAAUGCAGAUGAACCGCUUCUAAUAGUCCAUUGACUUGGACAAUACUUUUAUGAUCUGAUCUCAAAUCAGGUAGGACUACCCACUGAACUUAAGC
rnacentral:misc_RNA from 1 species